rnacentral:rRNA from 1 species
AUUGAACGCUGGCGGUAUGCUUAACACAUGCAAGUCGAACGGUAGCAGGCCUUCGGGCGCUGACGAGUGGCGGACGGGUGAGUAAUGCAUAGGAAUCUGCCUAUUAGUGGGGGAUAACGUGGGGAAACUCACGCUAAUACCGCAUACGAUCUACGGAUGAAAGCUGGGGACCUUCGGGCCUGGCGCUAAUAGAUGAGCCUAUGUCGGAUUAGCUAGUUGGUGGGGUAAAGGCCUACCAAGGCGACGAUCCGUAGCUGGUCUGAGAGGAUGAUCAGCCACACUGGGACUGAGACACGGCCCAGACUCCUACGGGAGGCAGCAGUGGGGAAUAUUGGACAAUGGGCGAAAGCCUGAUCCAGCAAUACCGCGUGUGUGAAGAAGGCCUGAGGGUUGUAAAGCACUUUCAAUAGGAAGGAAUACCUAUCGGUUAAUACCCGGUAGACUGACAUUAAAAGGUACAAGAAGCACCGGCUAACUCCGUGCCAGCAGCC